AGUGCUCCCCGUGCCAGAAGGACGAGCACAAUUCAGUGCCCGUCGUGGCUCGCAGGGGCAGGGUGGUGUAAUUGUCUCUGAUAUGUCCUCCAUCGGAGGUCUAUAUUGAGCAGAUUCUUUUUGGUGUUGGGUGGUGGAACCGGAGCGUGCUCCAUCCACUCCAUGCAUUGACCUGGUAUUGCAGUGCUUCCAGGACCGGUGCAAAAAAA
rnacentral:snRNA from 1 species